rnacentral:rRNA from 1 species
AAACUUUCAACAACGGAUCUCUUGGUUCUGGCAUCGAUGAAGAACGCAGCGAAAUGCGAUAAGUAAUGUGAAUUGCAGAAUUCAGUGAAUCAUCGAAUCUUUGAACGCACAUUGCGCCCGGCAGCAAUCUGUCGGGCAUGCCUGUCCGAGCGUCAUUU